rnacentral:tRNA from 1 species
CUGUGAGGGGGUGUGUUUGGCACGAAGAAUUUUGAUUUCUUAGGAAAAAGACCUAUCUCUUUUCCUUACAGA